AGAGAGAGACAUGCGCGCAUAUCAAUAAGCGGAGGAAAAGGAACUAACAAGGAUUCCCUUAGUAACGGCGAGUGAAGCGGGAAGAGCUCAAAUUUGAAAUCUUCAAGGUUUUACCUUGACGAAUUGUAGUUUAAAGAAGUGUUUUCUGCUGAAGUUUUGGUAAAAGUUCUUUGGAAUAGGACAUCAUAGAGGGUGAGAAUCCCGUAUUUGACCAUUAUUUUCAGCUUUGUGAUACACUUUCAAAGAGUCGGAUUGUUUGGGAAUGCAGUCCAAAAUGGGUGGUAAAUUUCAUCUAAAGCUAAAUAUUGGCGAGAGACCGAUAGCGAACAAGUACCGUGAGGGAAAGAUGAAAAGAACUUUGAAAAGAGAGUUAAACAGUACGUGAAAUUGUCAAAAGGGAAGCGUUUGACACCAGUGUUGUUUUCUCGAAAAUCAAUUAAAAAUGGCUCGAUUUUGUAUUGCUUGAGACCUUAAAAGCUCACUGUACAUUUUUCGUGUCUUUUUUAAUGCACUUUUCGUUUAACAAGUCAACAUCAGUUUCUUUUGUUGUAAAAGGGUCAUUGGAAGGUGGCUUUCUUUUCGGAGAAAGUGUUUAUAGCCUUUGGCCUCUGCAAUCGGAGAGGACUGAGGUCUGCAGCGUAGACUCUUCGGGGUUAGAUACAUUUGUGCUAAGUUAUAGCUUUUUAUAGACAACUUGUUGACUAUAAUUAGUCUUGUAGCUUACUCGCUUAUGCUAUUUUACCUACGCUUAGGAUGUUGAAGAUGUAGCACAUCAU
rnacentral:rRNA from 1 species